CAAAAGCUUGGUCCUGACUUUACUGUCAUCUUUGAUUAAAUUUAUACAUGCAAGCCUCCACGCCCCUGUGAGAAUGCCCUACCCACCCCUCCCGGGGUGGGAGGAGCAGAUAUUAGGCACAACACUAUGUUAGCCCACAACGUCUUGCUUAGCCACACCCCCAAGGGGACCCAGCAGUAAUAAACAUUAAGCCAUAAGUGCAAGCUUGACUUAGUUAAUAUCAAGAGGGCCGGUCAAACUCGUGCCAGCCACCGCGGUUAUACGAGAGGCCCAAGCUGACAAAUAAUCGGCGUAAAACGUGGUUAAUGUUACCCUUACUAAAGCCAAACACCUUCAAGGCUGUCAUACGCCCCCGAAGACAGGGAGUCCCGUCACGAAAGUAGCUUUAAUCUUCAUGAGCCCACGAAAGCUAGAAAACAAACUGGGAUUAGAGACCCCACUAUGCCCAGCCGUAAACAUAAAGGAUGUGUUAUUUAUCCUUCGCCAGGGGACAACGAGCCCCAGCUUAAAACCCAAAGGACUUGGCGGUGCUUUAGACCCCCCUAGAGGAGCCUGUUCUAGAA
rnacentral:rRNA from 1 species